AUGAACGCUGGCGGCGUGCCUAAUACAUGCAAGUCGAGCGAACAGACGAGGAGCUUGCUCCUCUGACGUUAGCGGCGGACGGGUGAGUAACACGUGGAUAACCUACCUAUAAGACUGGGAUAACUUCGGGAAACCGGAGCUAAUACCGGAUAAUAUAUUUAACCGCAUGGUUCAAUAGUGAAAGACGGUUUUGCUGUCACUUAUAGAUGGAUCCGCGCCGCAUUAGCUAGUUGGUAAGGUAACGGCUUACCAAGGCGACGAUGCGUAGCCGACCUGAGAGGGUGAUCGGCCACACUGGAACUGAGACACGGUCCAGACUCCUACGGGAGGCAGCAGUAGGGAAUCUUCCGCAAUGGGCGAAAGCCUGACGGAGCAACGCCGCGUGAGUGAUGAAGGUCUUCGGAUCGUAAAACUCUGUUAUUAGGGAAGAACAAAUGUGUAAGUAACUAUGCACGUCUUGACGGUACCUAAUCAGAAAGCCACGGCUAACUACGUG
rnacentral:rRNA from 1 species